rfam:Ipomoea nil DNA, scaffold: scaffold0380, cultivar: Tokyo-kokei standard.
GCUUUUUAGUGGGUAUCGGGUCUGACAAACUCAGAUAUUUAAGUGCUAUUUAUCAGCUUCUCUCUGGCAAUCUGACUGAGAUUGGAGUUAAAUGAUAGCACAAAAUAU